CUUCUUCGUCUCCUGCGCUGUGGAAAUCCCAGCCUACAUCCUUGCAAAGAUCUGUAUGGAUAGGAUCGGACGGCGGUGGUCCCUUCUGGCAUUCCUGUUGGUUGCUGGCUUGUCGACGUUUUGCAUCAUGUUCAUCCCGCCUACUCCAAGGCGAUCACCGUGCUUGCAGUGAUAGGGAAGUUCGGAGCAGCUGGUUGUUUCGGGACCAUCUACGUGUUCGCUACAGAGAUCUUCCCCACAGUAGUCAGGAAUGUUGGUGUGGGUGCG